rnacentral:rRNA from 1 species
GACAGAGGGUGCAAACGUUGUUCGGAAUUACUGGGCGUAAAGCGCGUGUAGGCGGCUCGGAAAGUCGGAUGUGAAACCUCCAGGCUCAACCUGGAGACGCCAUCUGAUACUGCCGUGGCUUGAGUCCGGUAGAGGAGCAGGGAAUUCCUGGUGUAGCGGUGAAAUGCGCAGAUAUCAGGAGGAACACCAGCGGCGAAGGCGCUGCUCUGGGCCGGUACUGACGCUGAGGAGCGAAAGCGUGGGGAGCGAACAGG